rnacentral:lncRNA from 1 species
AAAAAUUUAAAGUAGUUUAAGAUAUAAAAUAAGACAUAUAACUAUGGAAUUGUAAUCUAUAAUGGAUAAAGACAAUUCAUUAAAUAUAUGGUCUAAUUAGAAUUAAUACAGAGGAGUAUUUGUUUGUUUAUGUCUGAGUUUUUUUGAACACAAAUAUCUCUAGCUUUUUAGAUGUUGGUUUAGGAAUCAAGGUCAUGGGAACAUUAGAAUUCCCUUCCCAUAUCAUUUGUUUUAAUCAGGACUUUUUAUAGUUGAGCCAGUACUUUCAAGACUUGUCUUGGUUAGUGCCCAGAUUGCUUUCUUAUGUUAUACAAUCUGAGGUGAGCCCUGUGGACUUCAGAUACAUACCCAGUAGAAAAGUGGCAAACUUGAUAUUCCUUUAUAAAGCAUUAUUUAUUUUAUGCAGCUAUAUAAUAUUUCAUUAAUGUAAUCUAACUUAUUUUGUAGUCUUUGGGUUUUGUGUCAUAUUUAGUUAGGCCUUCUUAAUUCCAGGGUUAUAAAAGAAUUUUCCUAUGGUUUCUUCUUUUAGUUUCAUUUUUUAAAAAUAUUUAAAUCUUUGGUAUAUAGUAUUUGGUUGAAGGCAUAGUUUAGAUUUAACUUUAUUCUUUCUCUCACUCAUUUGUCUCAGUGCUAUUUAUUAAAAAUUUCAAUAUUUCUCCUCAUGUAUUCAACAUAUUAUCUUUAUUAUAAACUAAAUUUUCAAACAUAUAAUAGGACUGUUAGGACUUUUCCUGGAAAUACUAUUCUGUCGCAUUAAUAUAUCUAUUUAUGUGCCAGCAUCAUACUUGGGAUAAAUCUCUUGAUGCUAUUCCUCCUCGUACUCCCUGCCCCUCCCCACCACACCAUGUCAUGCAUAUACACACACCCCUUGUUGCUGUUGUCUUUUAUUAUGAUAUUUGGCUAUUUUUUUUUUACACAUAAACUAAAGAAUCAACUAAUCUAGUUUAAAACAUCAGUGUAUUUUCUGAUAUCUUAUUAAAUGUUUGUAUUAACUUUGGGAAAAUUGACAUCUUCAUAAUAUUGUCUUCAUAAAAAUAGGCUUUUUUUCAGAGAUAAGUUGAAGCUAUUUCUAGAUGAGUGUCUAGAGACCUAAUAUCCUCAGAGUAAGCUCUGUGUCUUUCAGACUAGACAGAAGGUAGAGUCGAGGUCAUUUUAUUGAUAAUUUGUUUAUAAAUUUUUACAGGUUGUAUUCUGUUUCUAGCAGAAAUGCUCUAUAAGUUUGCUUUUGCUUAUUUGAUAAGUAUUAUACAUACCUAGUUAGUUCUAAUCUGUUUUUAUUUCAAUUUUGUAAAUUGAACUGUGUAAUGUAUGUGGAGUAAAAUGUUCAUAUCUUAAGUAUACUACAUGGUAAAAUUUUAAAUAUGUUAAUACCCCCAUGUAACUGCCACCCAGCUGAAAAGCAUUAUCUGAAUCUCAAAAGGGUCUUUCAUGCUCCUUUACAGUCAUUACCUUUCUGUUCUAUACUCCCCCAAUCCCUAUAUCCAGGCUAAUCGGUAUUCCAAUCUCUCUGUUACCAUAGGUUGCUUUUUAACUGAUCUUGACCACCAAACAACUGGACUCACAUGAUAUGUACCUUUUUGUGCUUAGUUUCUUUUGUUCAACAUAAUGUCUAUAGGAAUCAUGUAUGUAUAGCAGUAGUUUAUUGUUUUCACUGUAGAAUAAUAUUCAUUGUAUAAUUAUACCACAAUUUAUCCAUUCUUCUGUUGAUUGGCAUUUGGUUUGUUUAUAGUUUUGGACUAUUACUACUACUAUAAACAUUCUUUGUAGUGUAUAAAUAAUUAUUAUGCACCUAGCCUAAUCAGUCUAAAACCACAAGGGACAAAUGUGUAAUACAACAGAGUCAGGUUUAUUGACUCCUAUCAUAGGGAGAAUAAAGAAAGUACUUUCUCAGUCUGGACCAGAAAUUAGCCAAAUUAUCUAAUUUUAAGAAUUUGUCAUUUAAAAAGUCAAUCCAUGGUUGAAUCCAACUAUAUAGGGAAUUGAUCACAAGGCAUUGGCACCAAAGGAAGAUGGGAGGAAAGUGAUCACAUACAAACUCCACAGUGGCUUUAAAAUGUAUGGUUUUAGCUGAUUCGUGAAUAAAUUUCAGCCAAGUGUUGGACUCAUACCAUGAACUAAGGCUAAAAAGAGUGAUAUUAAUAUAGACUCUAUAGGUAUCAAGUGUAAGAGUAACAAGUGUCUGACAACAAUCCAAAACCUUCAAUUAUUGAAAGGAAGGACAUGUGGCUAAGAAAAGAAGUUAUAUAUGGUAGUGUACAGAUUCAACAUGUGAGAGUCAGUGACUCCAGUGCUCUUGUUCAUGGUCCUGGGCCAGAUGCCCCACUCAAUGUAGUCAUCAGCUUGAAACAGCAAUCUUGCAUGGAAGCUGUCUUCUUUUUGUUUGCUUCUGAAGAAGGACUCUUUGUCAUUUCCAGUUUGAGGUGUCCUAUGGGACAGUUUUUCAGUGAUCUAAGAUGGGUGUAUUUCUCUAUAAUUGAGAACUGUAAAUAUAGAGAUCAACACCCAGUUUUACCACUGUGUUCAUUACUUAAAACAUCUGGCUAGAUUCUACGUACUAAGGUUGGAAGGCAGUUUUCCAGAACAGCUCUGAAUUUUAAAUCAUAUAAAGUUUGUCUCAGAGAAAAUCCUUCUUGGCUAUGUUUGAUUUAAACUGUGUAUGCUGAAUGACAUCCAGCUAUUAUCCUAUAAUAAAUGCAGAAAAAAGUCAGAAUCAGGAUUCUCAAAUGUAUUGGAUACUGAGGUUUUGGUUGUUGAGUUAAUGGAUUCCAGGGGAAUUGACCUCACUGUAAUUCACAAAGGAAAAAGUUAGGCUGAGAAAGUCUGAGAAUUUUGGAAAGUUUAUCUAACUUAAAUUUGAAAAUUCCAUGGGUCCUUUUUAUGUUACUCAUGGAGUGAGAGUGAGAAAAUCAUAAGGUGUACUGUCUUACAAAUCUCUCUAGAUAACUAUAGUGACUGAGUGUUUCCAACCCUAGAGAGAGACAUUUCCUAGGUAGGAAGCACACUAAACAGUGUCUUUUAUUUUGUUUUUGCCAAUCUUAAAGUUGAGGCUUUUUGUUUUUUUCAAUUUAUUUUUUAGUUGUAGUUGGACACAAUACCUUUAUUUUAUUUGUUUAUUUUUGUUUGGUGCUGAGAAUCAAACCCAGGGCCUCGCACAUGCUUAGGCGGGUGCUUUACCACUGAGCUAAAACCUCAGCCCAAAAUUUAGGCUUUUGGACAAGCUUUAUCCGUCCUAAAAAUAGGAUAUGAUUAUCAAAUAAAAUUUUUGUUUACUGAAAAAACUGUGAAAAAUUACCUCAAGUAUAAUACACUGAUAUAUUCUAUGUCACCACUUUAUAAACUGCAGGUUACAACCCAAUCCAUGAUAUCAAUUCAGAUUUUUUAAAAACAAAUCCACUUUUAUUUAUUUACUUUUCAUUGGUUUAAAUCCUUGAAGAGUACAGCUUUACAUUGAUUCUGUGCAGUGGCCUGAGUAGGAAACUUGAUUGGGAACAUGACACAAAUCAUGCCAUGUUUCUGUGGACACAAGUUACCUUCCCCCAGAUUAACCUGGUUUUGUUCAAUUUACUUUCAGGAAUCACUGGGUCGUUUAUUGCUUUGAAUGCAUAGUUUAUCUCUUGUCCAGCCAGUAUCGGUUUCAUCCUGGGCAUAUAGCUAGCAAAAAUGGCCUCGCAUCACAGCCUCCCAGACACAGGUGACUUUCAGAAGUCCUGUUCCCAGUACACCUUCUCAGGCUAUAAGAUGGCAGAGGAGCCAGAUUUUUUUAAGUAUAUAUGUAUAUGUAAGGUACUUCAGUUGAAAUUUUUAUGAUUUUUGUUUGUUUCUUAAUAAUUUGACUGCGAUCCAUUUAAUGCAUUUUUUGUGUGUUGAUUCUACUUGGAGUUCAGUUUCUUAGAUCUAUGGGUUGAAAUUUUUUAUGAAUUUGGAAGAUAUUUGGCUACUCUUCAAAAUUUCUACCCAAAUCUCUCAUCUACUUCCAGGACUCUAGCUGCAUAGUUAAUUCACUUGUUUCAUAAGGCACCAAGGCUUGUUCUCUCUCUCUGCCCCUCAUAUCUGCACAUAAGGGGGAUUUCUUUGUUCUCUGUAAUUUCUGUUGCCUUGACUUCAAGGUCAUUGAUCUUUUCCUCUGUAGUGUUCAGUCCACUGUUAAGUUCCUAUGGUGAGUUUUUUUCCAGAUGUGAUAUUUUUCAAAUCUAGACUUGAGUCAUACACACACAUAUAAUGCAUGUACAUAUAUACAUAUAUAUACACAUAUAUAUAAUUUCUAUUUCUCUACUAAGAUUAUCUGCUCACUUGUGUUCAUGUUUUCUCUUAAAUCCUUGAACAUAUUUAUAAUAGCAGUUUUCAGACCUUAUCUACUUAUUUCAACAUCUGUAUCAUCUCUGGAUCUGUUUCUAUUAAUUGUAAAGGGUGUUGCCCUCUUCCUUUAAAGAAUGAAUUAACUAGGUCAGCUUGAUCCUUUCAAGGCUUGCUGACUGUUUUUCUAGAGUAUUCAGCAAGAUCUUCCUCUGAGUGGAAACUUGGUUAUCUUUCCUGGUACAUCUCUGCUUUAUGGUCCUCUUAGCUCUUUUCUAACAUACUUUGCUUAGCUUGCUUUGCUCUUAGUAUUCAGUCACAGAUUUAAAGAAAAUUCUUUGAGAUUUCUAGAGUUCAGCUUUCUUAUUUUUAAUACUCUGCCCUUCAAAUCAUACCCCCAAGUUCUUAUCUUUGUUUCCCUAUCCAGUGAGACUUACUCUUUGGACUCCACCUUCUUGUAACACUACUUUAGGAAGUGUCCCCAGGCAAAAAGCCAAAGUUGGGCUGUGGAUUUUACCACAAUGUAUUCACCUUCUCUCAAGGAACACAUCCCUGUAAUAUCUGUCAUCCACUGCCCCAAAACAGUUGUUUUCAUAUAAUUUGUAGACACAGACACAGACACACAGACACGCACACACAUAUUUAUGCUACAUGUGUAGUAGUUUAUAGCAUAACAGUCAGUUUUAAUUAUAGCCAGAACUGGAUCAUCUUUUAGAGAUAAAUGAGGAUAUAUACUCGAAAGCCUCCCCACCUUUGUCAUGGGCCAAAGACACACCCAAAGGCACUACCAGGGUUUUCUUUUUUAAAAAGUGUAUGUCCAGUCUACCACACAGAACAAAAAUUGGAGGCUCCAGCAUUCUGUUUGUAAGUUAUGGCUAUAAUAAUUUUAAGCCAGUAAUAAGGAUUUUUUAAGGAUAUCUUUUAUUACAUAUUAAAACUUCUUAAAUAAUUAUUUAAAUGAAAUCUCAUUUUUACUGAUACUUGUCUAUUGGGUUGUAGUUAAUGUUUUCGUGUAUCUUUAAAUGAUGAAAUUCAUUUUUUCUAGGAAUUUUUGUAGUCUUUUAACUUAUUAUGAAAAGUGAUAUUUUAUUUUCAUAUUUAUACCUUUUAUCAUGGAUCUUCAUAUCUGGACAUCUUCAUGUACUUCAAUGUACUCUUCACUCCUGACCUGGGCCCUGGCAUGAGCUCUGAUACAUGAAUUCCCACUAUGCUCCAAAUCUCUGUUCCUUUGAGCUUACUCUCACAUUUGUUUAAUGUUUCUACUGGAAUGUCAAGGUCAUUGAUCCAUCACUCUCUCUCUUCUUGCCAGUUAUGACCAAAAGAAAAAUCCUUUAGCUCAUCUGUGUCUCAAAAGAGUAAAUGGUUCUUUAUGGAUUAUAAUAGUAAUUCUUGAAUUAAAAUGUUUUAAAAUCAUGUUAAGUGAGUGAUUAAUGACCAAGGUCUUUUUCUUUUAGAUUGUUUUUUAAAGUAGAUGCUGUUUUAGUCUUAUCUUUUUUACAAAAAAAAUUAUGAUAUACUGGUUUUGCUUAUGUAAUGAAUUAUGUACUUUUUAUUUAAUGAAUUAUGUACUUUUUAUUGCUUUCUACAAAUCUUGUUUUUAGGAUAAAUUCUAGAUCCUAUUUGAAAGUGCUUUUUCAGGACAUUUUGUUUGCUAAGAUUGUAUUCAGGAAACUUGCCAUCUCUGUAAUGCAAGUAUGAAUGUUGAAAAAAAAACUUUAUUGGCCUUUUAGUUACAUUGGAUUUUAGAAUCUUAAAAUUCUGUAUACUUUAUGAGUAAGUAAUAAACCAUCCUUUUCCCUGUUUGGGAAUAUUUCAUAUAAAAGUAGUUACUCAUUGAAUAUUUAAAAUAAUUCUGAAAUCAAUCUGACCAGGCCAAAUAAAAUACACAGUAAAAUGUAUUAGAUUCCUGAACAUUAUAAUAUUUAACAGAAACCAUUUGUUCUUUGAUCAUCUACUUCUAAUAAAGUUUUAAAAUUUUCAAUCAGAAUUAAACAGAGGGGCUGGGGUUGUAGCUCAAUGGUAGAGCACUUGCCUAGCACAUGUGAGGCACUGGGUUCAUUCCCCAGAACCACAUAACAAUAAAUAAACAAAGGUAUGUGUCCAUCUAUAACUAAAAAUAUUUUUUAAAAAAUUAAACAGACAUAUCAGGAAGACAUUAGGUUAUUACACUCUUUUGGUAAGACUGUAGUUAAAAAUAUAUGUGUAUGUAUGUGUGUGUGUGUGGGGGGGGGGUGUUAUAUUUUCCAUUCCCCUUCUACCAGGACACAAACAUUUCAUCUCCAAGAUUAACCCUUAAGAGAUUGAGUUUAUAAAUAUCUCGUAUAUAUUUUGCAGUUGACAAAUUACAAUUUGAACCUCCUCUGAGAAAAGAAACUGAAGCACGGGAUGAAAUGGUA